GGAGGGGGAAGGGGGAUUAAAAAGAGGAAGAGGUUGAAGGAAAAGGGGCUGGGGCAGGGGAACCCAGGCUUAGGGGUGAGUAAGAUAUUUUGUUCAUUUCCAUAAGAAAGCUGAAAUCACAGUUGGAAGCAGGAUUUCUUGCCCCAACAGCCCCCUUUUCUGCAAGAAGCAGGCUCGCGAGCUCAGAGCCCUAAGUGUGUACUCUUGUCCUUUUGAUUGUGUAGAUAAAAUGUGGUUUCAUAUUUUGCUCAAAAUGAGACCGGUUUCCUGUCUGUGUAUCGAGUGGAAGAACACCGCAAGGACUAGCUGCCCCAUCCUCAGAAUGUAAGCCCAACAAGAUAGCUUCAUUCUGUUAAAACAAAAACAAAAACAGGACCAAAGACAACUACAAAAAACCUGGUGACCUGCUGCAAAUGCACAAGAUCAGCACAAGCAUGCUUGGGAGAAGUAGCCACACAGGACGCGAAAGAGUCUCAGCAGGGCAAGAAAGUACCAGGGCUGGUUAGGACAGAGCCAGGGAUCCCUGGAGCAUGCAGUCUUUGGCAUCACUGCCCCCGAAGGCAUAUUCCUGCCUGUGACCCAAAACAAGCCCAAAACAGCUACCUAACUGAAGUCAACUCCAGUCGCUUCUCUCAGUACUACCACUACCCCCAGCCCGCCUGACAACAAAAAACCCAACAAGCCUCUGCUUGAACUAGCUUGGAAGCCAAGCCAAUCGAACACCAGAGUCACCAACCCACAUCAUGAGGUCAGUUUGGAAACAGCAGGGACCAGACCCUCUCCCAACUCAGUCUCACCAAAAUGGAUAGAUUCUUAAAAGCCCAACAGACUCCAGAGUGCCAUUUAAAACCUAGGCACGUUUUCGGAGCCCAAGGGAACAAUUGACUGGAUUCAGUGUCUCAGGAAUUGGGUACACGCCUGUAAGGUGUGUGAUCCUUUAAAGAUCCAUGUUAGUAGUUUUGCAUGAAGGCUUUGUUACAGCUUUGUCAGCUUGCUGGCAUUCAGCAACCUUACUCCCACCCCCACCCCCACCCACCUUUUUCCUCUUCUCCCCUCAAAUGCCUAUUCUAGUCUUGGCUGAGUCGUUUUGAAUCUCCUCCUGAAAUACAUUGCAUAGGAAAGUUGUACACUGACUAUGCCCCGUGGUCUCUCUUUGCUUGUUGCAAAUAAA